rnacentral:lncRNA from 1 species
GAUACAUAUAGUACUGGAUUUAAUGUGGACAACAGUUGGUUUCCAUCACCUUUCACGUAUUUCUGUUCUUUUCAGUGCAAUCAUCAUAGAUGGAUUCGACAAGAUAAAGCGGGAAGGUUUCAAGUUUUGUUUCAAGUUAUGUGCUACACGUUACUCAGGACUGUUAUUUGAAUUCCCUGACGUUAUAAUAGACUGUUUUUCGCAUCAAAGAAAGAGGAAGUCAUGUGUCUGUCAGGGCUUUAUAUAUGGAUGUGAUGCCUGUUACUGAUUGGUUUAAAGUGUAUUGAUUGACUUGUGCUGCUGGAGGC